AUGAACGCUGGCGGCGUGCUUAACACCUGCACGUCGAACGGAAAGGCCCAAGCUUGCUUGGGUACUCGAGUGGCGAACGGGUGAGUAACACGUGGGUGAUCUGCCCUGCACUUCGGGAUAAGCCUGGGAAACUGGGUCUAAUACCGGAUAGGACCACUUCUUGGAUGUUGUGGUGGAAAGUUUUUCGGUGUGGGAUGAGCUCGCGGCCUAUCAGCUUGUUGGUGGGGUAAUGGCCUACCAAGGCGUCGACGGGUAGCCGGCCUGAGAGGGUGUACGGCCACAUUGGGACUGAGAUACGGCCCAGACUCCUACGGGAGGCAGCAGUGGGGAAUAUUGCACAAUGGGCGCAAGCCUGAUGCAGCGACGCCGCGUGGGGGAUGACGGCCUUCGGGUUGUAAACUCCUUUCGCUAGGGACGAAGCUUAUUUUGUGACGGUACCUGGAGAAGAAGCACCGGCUAACUACGUG
rnacentral:rRNA from 1 species